ACCUGCGGAAGGAUCAUUAUUGAAAUAAAACUGAUGGGUUGUUGCUGGCUCUCUGCGGAGCAUGUGCACACUUGUCAUCUUUAUAUCUCCACCUGUGCACCUUGUGUAGACCUGGAUAUCUUUUCCUAAAUGCUUAGGCAUUCAGGUGUUGAGGACUGACCCCGCGGUCUGUCCUUACAUUUCCAGGCCUAUGUUUCUUCAUAUACCCCAAUAUAUGUUUUAGAAUGUAUUCAAUGGGCUUUUAUGCCUAUAAACUUUGUACAACUUUCAGCAACGGAUCUCUUGGCUCUCGCAUCGAUGAAGAACGCAGCGAAAUGCGAUAAGUAAUGUGAAUUGCAGAAUUCAGUGAAUCAUCGAAUCUUUGAACGCACCUUGCGCUCCUUGGUAUUCCGAGGAGCAUGCCUGUUUGAGUGUCAUUAAUAUAUCAAUCUCUUCAGCUUUUGUUGUUGAGCAUUGGAAGUGGGGGUUUUUCCUUUGCUGGUCUCUCUUCUGAGGUCCGCUCCCCUGAAAUGUAUUAGCGGAACAAUUUGUUAACCUUUCAUUGGUGUGAUAACUAUCUACGCUAUUGGAAUGGGAGCAGUUCAGCUUCUAAUAGUCCAUUGACUUGGACAGAUAAUCUUAUUAAUGUGACCUCAAAUCAGGUAGGACUACCCGCUGAACUUAAGCAUAUCAAUAAGCGGAGGAAAAGAAACUAACAAGGAUUCCCCUAGUAACUGCGAGUGAAGCGGGAAAAGCUCAAAUUUAAAAUCUGGCAGUCUUUUGGCUGUCCGAGUUGUAAUCUAGAGAAGUGUUAUCUGCGCUGGACCGUGUACAAGUCUCCUGGAAUGGAGCGUCAUAGAGGGUGAGAAUCCCGUCUUUGACACGGACUACCAGGGCUUUGUGAUGCGCUCUCAAAGAGUCGAGUUGUUUGGGAAUGCAGCUCAAAAUGGGUGGUAAAUUCCAUCUAAAGCUAAAUAUUGGCGAGAGACCGAUAGCGAACAAGUACCGUGAGGGAAAGAUGAAAAGAACUUUGGAAAGAGAGUUAAACAGUACGUGAAAUUGCUGAAAGGGAAACGCUUGAAGUCAGUCACGUUGUCCAGGGAUCAACCUUGCUUUUGCUUGGUGUACUUUCUGGUUGACGGGUCAGCAUCAAUUUUGACUGUUGGAAAAAAGUUGAGGGAAUGUGGCAUCUUCGGAUGUGUUUAUAGCCCUUGGUUGUAUACAAUGGUUGGGAUUGAGGAACUCAGCACGCCGCAAGGCCGGGUUUUUAACCACGUACGUGCUUAGGAUGCUGGCAUAAUGGCUUUAAUCGACCCGUCUUG
rnacentral:rRNA from 1 species